AACGCAUAUUGCACUCUCUGGCUCUCCAGAGAGUAUGCCUGUUUGAGUAUCAUUUUUAAUCUCUCAUCCCCAAUUGGGGAUAAGGAUUUGAGCAAUCCGCUGGCGCCAAGUUGUUUACGCGACUUGGUGAUUGAUGCGGUUGCUUGAAAUGUAUAGCUAGGCGGUAUUGAUCACUGCUUUAGAGACUAGGCGUAUUAGUUUCCCAUUUGGGAAUCCACUCGUGCGCCGGUGUAACGUCUCCUAAGCCUUUGUGUUGAUUGAUCGCUAUGCUCACUCAAAUGUUCUUUUGAGCAUUUACCGAGUUUGGAUUGCAGUUUGCAAAUUAGACUUGAUCUUGAUCUCAAAUCAGGCAAGACUACCCGCUGAAUUUAA
rnacentral:rRNA from 1 species